UAAUAACACGGUUGUUAAGUGAAUCUGGCCUCCCCAUGGAUCUUUCCUUGUCAGAAGGUUGCAAAAGGGGACCACGUGACCUUGGGAUGCAGCUACGGACAUAAAUAUGAACCAGUUGCCAAGCAUUUGAAUUUUGAUC